rnacentral:rRNA from 1 species
CCUACGGGCGGCAGCAGUGGGGAAUAUUGGACAAUGGGGGGAACCCUGAUCCAGCGACGCCGCGUGAGUGAAGAAGUAUCUCGGUAUGUAAAGCUCUAUCAGCAGGGAAGAAAGAAAUGACGGUACCUGACUAAGAAGCCCCGGCUAACUACGUGCCAGCAGCAGCGGGAAUACGUAGGGGGCAAGCGUUAUCCGGAUUUACUGGGUGUAAAGGGAGCGUAGACGGCUGAGCAAGUCUGAAGUGAAAGGCGGGGGCCCAACCCCCGGACUGCUUUGGACACUGUAUAGCUAGAGUGCAGGAGAGGUAAGUGGAAUUCCUAGUGUAGCGGUGAAAUGCGUAGAUAUUAGGAGGAACACCAGUGGCGAAGGCGGCUUACUGGACUGUAACUGACGUUGAGGCUCGAAAGCGUGGGGAGCAAACAGGAUUAGAUACCCUGGUAGUC